rnacentral:rRNA from 1 species
GUGGGGAAUUUUGGACAAUGGGCGCAAGCCUGAUCCAGCAAUGCCGCGUGCAGGAAGAAGGCCUUCGGGUUGUAAGCUGCUUUUGUACGGAACGAAACGGUCCUGGAUAAUACCUGGGGCUAAUGACGGUACCGUAAGAAUAAGCACCGGCUAACUACGUGCCAGCAGCCGCGGUAAUACGUAGGGUGCGAGCGUUAAUCGGAAUUACUGGGCGUAAAGCGUGCGCAGGCGGUGCUGUAAGACAGGCGUGAAAUCCCCGGGCUCAACCUGGGAAUUGCGCUUGUGACUGCAGUGCUGGAGUACGGCAGAGGGGGAUGGAAUUCCGCGUGUAGCAGUGAAAUGCGUAGAUAUGCGGAGGAACACCGAUGGCGAAGGCAGUCCCCUGGGCCUGUACUGACGCUCAUGCACGAAAGCGUGGGGAGCAAACAGGAUUAGAAACCCUGGUAGUCC